GGUUGACCUCGGAUCAGGUAGGGAUACCCGCUGA
rnacentral:rRNA from 2 species